GCGCCGGUAGCCCAGUUGGCGUAGCAGUGGGACGGUACCUCACGGUCCCGGGUUCAAGUCCCGGCCGACGUU